rnacentral:rRNA from 1 species
UACGUAGGGUGCGAGCGUUAAUCGGAAUUACUGGGCGUAAAGCGUGCGCAGGCGGUUAUUUAAGUCAGGUGUGAAAGCCCUGGGCUUAACCUAGGAAUUGCGCUUGAGACUGGAUAGCUUGGAGUGCGGCAGAGGGAGGUGGAAUUCCGGGUGUAGUGGUGGAAUGCGUAGAGAUCCGGAGGAACACCAGUGGCGAAGGCGGCUGCCUGGGCCUGGCCUGACGCUGAGGCGCGAAAGCGUGGGGAGCGAUCCGG